AAGGUUACUAAGACUGGAUAGGAAACAAAAAGGCAUCUUUUUGUUUUUAAAAGACCUUCUUACGAAGGUAUGCUUAAAGAGGGGCUUGCGCCACAUUAGUUAGUUGGUAGAGUAAAAGCCUACCAAGACGAUGAUGUGUAGCUGGACUGAGAGGUUGAACAGCCACAUUGGGACUGAGACACGGCCCAAACUCCUACGGGAGGCAGCAGUAGGGAAUUUUCGGCAAUGGAGGAAACUCUGACCGAGCAACGCCGCGUGAACGAUGAAGUAUUUCGGUAUGUAAAGUUCUUUUAUUGAAGAAGAAAAAGUAGUGGAAAAACUAUAUUGACGUUAUUCAAUGAAUAAGCCCCGGCUAACUAUGUGCCAGCAGCCGCGGUAAGACAUAGGGGGCGAGCGUUAUCCGGAAUUAUUGGGCGUAAAGGGUGCGUAGGCUGUUAGAUAAGUCUAUAAUUUAAUUUCAGUGCUUAACGCUGUCUUGUUAUAGAAACUGUCUUGACUAGAGUGAGAUAGAGGCAAGCGGAAUUCCAUGUGUAGCGGUAAAAUGUGUAAAUAUAUGGAGGAACACCAGAAGCGUAGGCGGCUUGCUGGGUCUUUACUGACGCUGAGGCACGAAAGCGUGGGUAGCAAACAGGAUUAGAUACCCUGGUAGUCCACGCCGUAAACGAUGAGUACUAAGUGUCGGGGUAAAACUCGGUACUGAAGUUAACACAUUAAGUACUCCGCCUGAGUAGUACGUACGCAAGUAUGAAACUUAAAGGAAUUGACGGGACUCCGCACAAGCGGUGGAUCAUGUUGUUUAAUUCGAAGAUACACGAAAAAUCUUACCAGGUCUUGACAUACUCUGCAAAGCUAUAGAAAUAUAGUGGAGGUUAUCAGGGAUACAGGUGGUGCAUGGUUGUCGUCAGUUCGUGUCGUGAGAUGUUAGGUUAAGUCCUAAAACGAACGCAACCCUUGUCGUUAAUUGCCAGCACAUAAUGGUGGGGACUUUAACGAGACUGCCAAUUAAACAUUGGAGGAAGGUGAGGAUUACGUCAAAUCAUCAUGCCCCUUAUGAUCUGGGCUACAAACGUGAUACAAUGGCUGUGACAAAGAGUAGCUGAAACGCGAGUUUUUAGCCAAUCUCAAAAAAGCAGUCUCAGUUCGGAUUGAAGUCUGUAACUCGACUUCAUGAAGUUGGAAUCGCUAGUAAUCGCGAAUCAGCAUGUCGCGGUGAAUACGUUCUCGGGGUUUGUACACACCGCCCGUCAA
rnacentral:rRNA from 1 species